rnacentral:lncRNA from 1 species
AUGGUUCGCUACUCUCUUGACCCAGAAAACCCUACAAAAUCAUGCAAACCAAGAGGUUCAAACUUUCGUGUUCACUUUAAGAACACCCGGGAAACCGCCCAGGCCAUCAAAGGUAUGGCUAUCUGCAAAGUUACCAAGUAUCUGAAGGAUGUCACUUUAAAGAAGAGGAGGCUGCCUGCAAGAAAAAGAUAUCCCAGAAGACACUGAAAAAACAAAAUCUCAUGGCCCGGGAAUAA